CUCCGACUCAGAGAGUUUGAUCAUGGCUCAGAUUGAACGCUGGCGGCAUUGCUUUACACAUGCAAGUCGAACGGCAGCACGGGGCAACCUGGUGGCGAGUGGCGAACGGGUGAGUAAUAUAUCGGAACGUACCGGAAAUGGGGGAUAACGUAGCGAAAGUUACGCUAAUACCGCAUAUGCCCUAAGGGGGAAAGCGGGGAUUCGCAAGAACCUCGCGUUUUCGGAGCGGCGAUAUCGGAUUAGCUAGUAGGUGAGGUAAAGGCUCACCUAGGCGACGAUCCGUAGCUGGUCUGAGAGGACGACCAGCCACACUGGAACUGAGACACGGUCCAGACUCCUACGGGAGGCAGCAGUGGGGAAUUUUUGGGACAAAUGGGCGCAAGCCUGAUCCAGCCAUGCCGCGUGAGUGAAGAAGGCCUUCGGGUUGUAAAGCUCUUUCAGCCGGAAAGAAAACGCACGGGUUAAUACCCUGUGUGGAUGACGGUACCGGAAGAAGAAGCACCGGCUAACUACGUG
rnacentral:rRNA from 1 species